AUUGAACGCUGGCGGCAGGCCUAACACAUGCAAGUCGAACGGUAACAGGAAGCAGCUUGCUGCUUCGCUGACGAGUGGCGGACGGGUGAGUAAUGUCUGGGAAACUGCCUGAUGGAGGGGGAUAACUACUGGAAACGGUAGCUAAUACCGCAUAACGUCGCAAGACCAAAGAAGGGGACCUUAGGGCCUCUUGCCAUCGGAUGUGCCCAGAUGGGAUUGGCUAGUAGGUGGGGUAACGGCUCACCUAGGCGACGAUCCCUAGCUGGUCUGAGAGGAUGACCAGCCACACUGGAACUGAGACACGGUCCAGACUCCUACGGGAGGCAGCAGUGGGGAAUAUUGCACAAUGGGCGCAAGCCUGAUGCAGCCAUGCCGCGUGUAUGAAGAAGGCCUUCGGGUUGUAAAGUACUUUCAGCGGGGAGGAAGGGAGUAAAGUUAAUACCUUUGCUCAUUGACGUUACCCGCAGAAGAAGCACCGGCUAACUCCGUG
rnacentral:rRNA from 1 species